CUGUAGCAAUACAGGUGUUGUUUAGUGGCGAACGGGUGCGUAACACGUGGGGAAUCUGCCGAGAAGUGGGGGAUAGCUCGCCGAAAGGCGAAUUAAUACCGCAUAUGAUCAGCCAAGACAUCUUGGCGACAUCAAAGCCGGGGCAACCUGGCGCUUCUUGAUGACCCCGCGGCCUAUCAGCUAGUUGGUGAGGUAACGGCCCACCAAGGCGAUGACGGGUAGCUGGUCUGAGAGGACGACCAGUCACACUGGAACUGAGACACGGUCCAGACACCUACGGGUGGCAGCAGUCGAGAAUAUCUCAAUGGGGGCAACCCUGAAGGAGCGACGCCGCGUGGAGGAUGAAGGCUUUCGGGUUGUAAACUCCUGUCAUUUGAGAACAAGGUGCAGCGAUUAACUGUCGCUGCAUUGAUAGUAUCAGAAGAGGAAGAGACGGCUAACUCUGUGCCAGCAGCCGCGGUAAUACAGAGGUCUCAAGCGUUGUUCGGAUUCAUUGGGCGUAAAGGGUGCGUAGGUGGCGGGGUAAGUCAGGUGUGAAAUUUCGGAGCUUAACUCCGAAACUGCAUUUGAUACUGCCUUGCUUGAGGACUGGAGAGGAGACUGGAAUUCACGGUGUAGCAGUGAAAUGCGUAGAGAUCGUGAGGAAGACCAGUGGCGAAGGCGGGUCUCUGGACAGUUCCUGACACUGAGGCACGAAGGCCAGGGGAGCAAACGGGAUUAGAUACCCCGGUAGUCCUGGCAGUAAACGGUGCACGUUUGGUGUGGGAGGAUUCGAGGCUUCCGCGCGGAGCUAACGCGUUAAACGUGCCGCCUGGGGAGUACGGUCGCAAGAUUAA
rnacentral:rRNA from 1 species